CCUACGGGUGGCAGCAGUGAGGAAUAUUGGUCAAUGGGCGAGAGCCUGAACCAGCCAAGUAGCGUGAGGGAAGACGGUCCUAUGGGUUGUAAACCUCUUUUAUCGGGGAGCAAAAGACGCCACGCGUGCCGUUCCGAGAGUACCCGAAGAAAAAGCAUCGGCUAACUCCGUGCCAGCAGCCGCGGUAAUACGGAGGAUUCAAGCGUUAUCCGGAUUUAUUGGGUUUAAAGGGUGCGUAGGUGGGUGGAUAAGUUAGUGGUGAAAUGCCGAGGCUCAACUUCGGAAUUGCCGUUGAUACUGGCCGUCUAGAGAGUAGUUGAGGUAGGCGGAA
rnacentral:rRNA from 1 species